rnacentral:rRNA from 1 species
UACGGGGGGGGCAAGCGUUGUUCGGAAUUACUGGGCGUAAAGGGCUCGUAGGCGGCCAACUAAGUCGGACGUGAAAUCCCCAGGCUCAACCUGGGAACUGCGUCCGAUACUGGAUGGCUUGAGUUCGGGAGAGGGAUGCGGAAUUCCAGGUGUAGCGGUGAAAUGCGUAGAUAUCUGGAGGAACACCGGUGGCGAAGGCGGCAUCCUGGACCGACACUGACGCUGAGGAGCGAAAGCCAGGGGAGCAAACGGG